rnacentral:sRNA from 1 species
GUCGUGAGAUGUUGGGUUAAGUCCCGCAACGAGCGCAACCCUUGUCUCAUGUUGCCAGCGCGUUAUGGCGGGGACUCGUGAGAGACUGCCGGGGUCAACUCGGAGGAAGGUGGGGAUGACGUCAAGUCAUCAUGCCCCUUAUGUCCAGGGCUUCACACAUGCUACAAUGGCCGGUACAAAGGGCUGCGAUGCCGUGAGGUGGAGCGAAUCCUUUCAAAGCCGGUCUCAGUUCGGAUCGGGGUCUGCAACUCGACCCCGUGAAGUCGGAGUCGCUAGUAAUCGCAGAUCAGCAACGCUGCGGUGAAUACGUUCCCGGGCCUUGUACACACCGCCCGUCACGUCAUGAAAGUCGGUAACACCCGAAGCCGGUGGCCUAACCCCUUGUGGGAGGGAGCCGUCGAAGGUGGGAUCGGCGAUUGGGACGAAGUCGUAACAAGGUAGCCGUACCGGAAGGUGCGGCUGGAUCACCUCCUUUCUAAGGAGCACCACGAGACUCAGGCCCGCCCACAUCGUGUGGGGGUUCGGGAUUCCUGGGCGAAUCGUGAAGAUGGGCUACACCUGUAGUGGGUGUGGUUCGGGUGCACGACAAGCGUUGAUCGGUGGGGAAACACCGGUUGAGAUUAAUCAUCAGACACACUAUUGGGCUUUGAGACAACAGGCCCGUCACCUCUUUGCCCUGUAGUUGGGGGAACCGGGGGUGAUACCGCCCUUUCGGGGGUGGGUUUGGUUGUCGCUCCGCUUUGGUGGUGGGGUGUGGUGUUUGAUUUGUGGAUAGUGGUUGCGAGCAUCUGGCACGCAUGUGGCGCCGGCCCUUUUUGGGGGUUGGUGUUUUCGUGUGUGUUGAUGUGCAAUUUCAAAGUUUUGUAUAACUUUUGGUUUUGUGUUGUAAGUGUUUAAGGGCGCAUGGUGGAUGCCUUGGCACUGGGAGCCGAUGAAGGACGUGGGAGGCUGCGUUAUGCCUCGGGGAGCUGUCAACCGAGCGUGGAUCCGAGGAUGU